rnacentral:rRNA from 1 species
UGUUAUUCUUAAUAGGAUAACUUUUCAUUAGUGUAAAAAGCUUUUAGAAUAAGAGCUGGGCAAGACCGGUGCCAGCCGCCGCGGUAACACCGGCAGCUCAAGUGGUAGCUGUUUUUAUUGGGCCUAAAGCGUUCGUAGCCGGUUUGAUAAGUCUUUGGUGAAAGCUUAUGGCUUAACUGUAAGAAUUGCUGAAGAUACUGUCAGACUUGAAGUCGGGAGAGGUUAGAGGUACUACCGGGGUAGGGGUGAAAUCCUAUAAUCCUGGGAGG